AACGAACGCUGGCGGCAUGCCUAACACAUGCAAGUCGAACGAGACCUUCGGGUCUAGUGGCGCACGGGUGCGUAACGCGUGGGAACCUGCCCUUAGGUUCGGAAUACCUCCCCGAAAGGGGUGCUAAUACCGGAUAAUGUCUUCGGACCAAAGAUUUAUCGCCUUUGGAUGGGCCCGCGUUGGAUUAGCUGGUGGGUAGGGUAAAAGCCUACCAAGGCGACGUUCCAUGGCUGGUCUGAGAGAAUGAUCAGCCACACUGGGACUGAGACACGGCCCAGACUCCUACGCGAGGCAGCAGAGGGGAAUAUUGUACAAGGGGCGAAAGUCUGAUCCAGCAAUGCCGCGUGAGUGAUGAAGGCCUUAGGGUUGUAAAGCUCUUUUACCCGGGAGGAUAAUGACAGUACCGGGAGAAUAAGCUCCGGCUAACUCCGUG
rnacentral:rRNA from 1 species